GGAAAGUCGGCAGUGGACGAGCACCUUGCUAAACCGGUCAGGUCCGGAAGGAAGCAGCCAUGGUGAGUUUCGCCCGGGUCAUUGUCCGGCUUUCCACC
rnacentral:SRP_RNA from 1 species